rnacentral:misc_RNA from 1 species
UUGGAGGAGCUUUGAUUAUUUGAUUAUCAGGUAUAUGGCGUGGCAUAUAUACUUGUAAUGGCUUUCGCGAUGUAAUUUUAGAGUCUGGUUCUUUGCUGUUGGUACAAGCUCUCCACUCCAAUCAGCAUGAUCUCUCUUAUUUUGAUUCUAUUGUCACUGAUUAUGAAUUUUCUUAAUUAAUUCUUCUCUAUUUCUUCUACCGGUAAAUCAGUGAACACUGUUGUCCAUUGCUUAACACAUAUAAUUUAGGGUACAAUUUAGUUUUUAGUCAAAUCUCCGGGAGUGGGGGCUUACACUGUUGUCCACUGCUUAGCACAUAAUUUAGUUUUUAGUUUAA